rnacentral:rRNA from 1 species
CUACGGGGUGCACCAGUGGGGAAUAUUGCACAAUGGGCGCAAGCCUGAUGCAGCCAUGCCGCGUGUAUGAAGAAGGCCUUCGGGUUGUAAAGUACUUUCAGCGGGGAGGAAGGGAGUAAAGUUAAUACCUUUGCUCAUUGACGUUACCCGCAGAAGAAGCACCGGCUAAUCCGUGCCAGCAGCCGCGGUAAUACGAAGGGUGCAAGCGUUAAUCGGAAUUACUGGGCGUAAAGCGCACGCAGGCGGUUUGUUAAGUCAGAUGUGAAAUCCCCGGGCUCAACCUGGGAACGGCAUCUGAUACUGGAAAGCUUGAGUCUCGUAGAGGGGGGUAGAAUUCCAGGUGUAGCGGUGAAAUGCGUAGAGAUCUGGAGGAAUACCGGUGGCGAAGGCGGCCCCCUGGACGAAGACUGACGCUCAGGUGCGAAAGCGUGGGGAGCAAACAGGAUUAGAUACCCCGGUAGUC